GGCAAAUGAUGAUGGUUGCGUUCUGAAUAUACCUGCAGUCUUCUGGUCUGAAAAUUGUUCAUAAUCUUGGUCGAUGUCUUGAAAACAGGCAUUGGCUGUAAAGGGGGACAAACAACAAUGACACCACCUCAUUAGAUGGCAGCGAGUCACAAGCAGCAUCGCUGUGGUUAAGAGGAGGUGCAACAGUAUCUAGGAAGUGCUCAUAAAGAACCCUGGGUUCUAAAUGGAUGCUUUCUAAUCACAGACAGAAAUAAACUGCUGGUCUCAUCUGAAUGAAAUUUUAGUAAUCUGAUGCCA